rnacentral:rRNA from 1 species
UACGGGGGGUGCGAGCGUUGUCCGGAAUCACUGGGCGUAAAGGGCGCGUAGGUGGCGUCGUAAGUCUGUGGUGAAAGCCCGGAGCUCAACUCCGGGUCUGCCGCGGAUACUGCGAGGCUUGAGUAUUGUAGAGGGUAGUGGAAUUUCCGGUGUAGCGGUGAAAUGCGUAGAGAUCGGAAGGAACAUCAGUGGCGAAGGCGGCUACCUGGACAGAUACUGACACUGAGGCGCGAAAGCGUGGGGAGCAAACAGG